CGCCGUCCCCACGGUGCGCGCGCCUGCCGGGGCCGCGCGGGGAGGCGCGGCGGAGGGGCCCCUGCACCUCGUAGGUCCUUUCGCCUCCCGAACAAACUCCGUCCCAGGAAAUUGCACAGAGACGUGCGGCCGAACCUGAUGCCGCCAGAUCUCCAUCCGGAAAAAACAGGUAUGAUGUUUGAGGACCAAAAAAAAAAAAAAAAAAAAGUCCAAACUUGGAAAAAUGAAGAAGAAACAAAUCCAAGCUUGGAAAAAGGCCCAACCGGUUUUUACCUUCCCAGCAUUUUCUGCUGAGCUGAGCCGUCCCAGUAAAAGCUGGGCCUUCUGUUCUUUGCAGACCGCCCCUCUGCUGACAGUCCGGGGGAUGCAACUUUGUUGUCGAGGUGCAGGUGAUUAAUACACAACUGCUGGAGGCCCGGACAGUUAACUGCCCUAUAGAGCUGUGACUUCUUAACCUGCAGAAGUGGAUGACUGUCUACAAUGCCUGCACCAGGAGGAUAUUAUUCUACAAAUAAGGGCCCAGCGUGACAUUUAUGAGAAAGCCAGGGUCCUUCUGUGCAAAACUGAUUGGUGCUCAGCCAAUGGGCUCCAGGGCAUUGCAAAUAAAACCACCUUCUCCACCGGGCCCGUUCAGAUGCAGGAUAGUGUGUUGCUUCUGCCUGUGGAACUUUAGGAAAUGCUCAACUCCUGUCCUAGCAAAAUACAUCUGUGGCCAGCUAAGUGAAACCAGCUUUGAAGAUGAAACACCUUCUUCCUCAAUUCCCUUCCAUCUUGGCCAUCUAUUGCUUCUGCAUGCUACAGAUUCCCUCUUCAGGAUCUCCUCGACCUCUAGCUGAUCCCCCAGAUGGCUUGGAUAUCACGCAGCUUGAGGUACGCUGCUGUUCAGUAAUGUGAGAUUUUUAUUUAGUCUUGGCCUUGAAAAUAUCAUGUGGAUAGUGUUCACUUGAAACUAUUUUAAGAUCAGAUUCUUGGCUGCAGCAGGAACUCAUGUUGCCAUUUUCAUGGCCUCAUUUAAAGCAUCACGAGAGUUGUGUUGAAAUUCACUGCCACUGUGUGAGAAGAUAAUGGAAGGUUCAUAAAUGGGACAACUUUAGUAUUUUACAUAUGUUUUAAUAGAUUGCUAUUGACUGAUUUGUACCGAUCUUUGAUUCAUUGUUCAUAUUUUUCUUUAGCGACUGGCAUAUUGGGCCACUCUUUCUAAGCAACCUAAGGUAAAAAAAAAUAUAUACAUAUAAUAAUUCAUUUAUUUUUAUUUUUUUAAAGAUUUAUUUAUUUAUUUGAGAGAGAGAGAGGAGUAAG
rnacentral:lncRNA from 1 species